rnacentral:rRNA from 1 species
AGUGAACGCUGGCGGUAGGCCUAACACAUGCAAGUCGAACGGCAGCACAGUAAGAGCUUGCUCUUACGGGUGGCGAGUGGCGGACGGGUGAGGAAUACAUCGGAAUCUACUUUUUCGUGGGGGAUAACGUAGGGAAACUUACGCUAAUACCGCAUACGACCUACGGGUGAAAGCAGGGGAUCUUCGGACCCUGCGCGAUUGAAUGAGCCGAUGUCGGAUUAGCUAGUUGGCGGGGUAAAGGCCCACCAAGGCGACGAUCCGUAGCUGGCCUGAGAGGAUGAUCAGCCACACUGGGACUGAGACACGGUCCAGACUCCUACGGGAGGCAGCAGUGGGGAAUAUUGGACAAUGGGCGCAAGCCUGAUCCAGCCAUACCGCGUGGGUGAAGAAGGCCUUCGGGUUGUAAAGCCCUUUUGUUGGGAAAGAAAAGCAGCAGGUUAAUACCCCGCUGUUCUGACGGUACCCAAAGAAUAAGCACCGGCUAACUUCGUG